rnacentral:rRNA from 1 species
UACGAAGGGGGCUAGCGUUGCUCGGAAUUACUGGGCGUAAAGGGCGCGUAGGCGGAUAGUUUAGUCAGAGGUGAAAGCCCAGGGCUCAACCUUGGAACUGCCUUUGAUACUGGCUAUCUUGAGUUCGGGAGAGGUGAGUGGAAUGCCGAGUGUAGAGGUGAAAUUCGUAGAUAUUCGGCGGAACACCAGUGGCGAAGGCGACUCACUGGCCCGAUACUGACGCUGAGGCGCGAAAAGCGUGGGGGAGCAAACAGG